GUUAAGGUGGAGACGCGUGCUUUUGUUUUCCUUUUCUUUUUUACUCCUGACUCAAAGUGACUAGUUGUGCCAGAGGAGAUUUGAGUCGAGGCGGUGACAGCUAUACGACAUUGAGUUGCGUCUCACUUGCGGCGGACAAUUCCAGUCCGGAUUAUGCUUGAGGAGAUAAUUGGAUUAGCCGAGUGCGGGUGACCUUCUCCGUCUUCGUGGGUGAAGUAAAAUUCACAGUGAGAGGUGAACUAGUUUUGGAAGUGAAAUUUGAAAAUUGUGGGCGAAAGAAGAUUCAGCAAUUGAAAGUUUGUGUGAUAUGUAGUAAAAUAAAGUGAUUGAGUUGUUCAAGACUCCGUGAUCAUCGGCCCCCAAAACAUCAUCAUUUGAUUAGUGUGAGUGGUGACACGUGCGAGUGCAAAAAAGUUCGGAAAAGUGUGAUGAUGGGUGCGUUUAGUAGUGGUUGACUGGGGGGAAAUUAUCACGAAGAAAACGAACGUGACACUCAACGACGAGCAGGGGCGAAAUGUUUGUUGCCAAAUUGUUUUGAUUUUCAGGAGAAAAAUGGCUAGAGGAAAAUAAAUGUGACAAAAAAUACAAUUUAAAGUGAAACAGUGAAAUUAAACCAGAAAUGCUAGAAUCUACCCCGUUCUGGAAUGCCGGCGGUUCCGGAAGUGGUGCCGGUGACCUAUCUCAACUACCGUUUGCGGACAGUAUGCUGCUGGCGGCGGCGGCCGAGGUCAACGCUUCCGUCGAGGAACUUUGCGUGCUGCAGCGGACCGCCGAAGAGCUGCUGACGGAUUUGGCCUGCCCGACGUUUUUCGACUCGGUUUCCUGCUGGCCGCGGACGCCACCGGCCACGUUGGCCAUCCUGCCGUGCAUGACCGAAUUUAAGGGCGUUCAGUAUGACAGCACCCAGAACGCCAGCCGGUACUGCAACAUCAACGGCACGUGGGACAACUACACCAACUACGGCGAGUGCCAGCACGUGGGCACGUCCGCCCUGCCCGAGUUCGAGCUGCACAUCGAGCUGCCAACCAUCGUGUACUUUGUCGGCUACAGUAUUAGUCUGGCAGCACUGGUGCUCGCCGUCACGGUGCUGGUUAACUUCAAGGAUCUGCGAUGUCUCAGAAACACAAUUCACAUCAACCUAUUUCUAACGUACAUUAUGUCGUCCAGCCUGUGGAUGCUGAUACUCUCUCUACAGAUGACAACCAAGACGGAAAUCGUCGACUGUAUAUUUUUAGUUACCCUGUUCCAUUACUUUAGCACGACAAACUUCUUCUGGAUGCUGGUGGAAGGUCUGUACCUGUACAUGCUGGUGGUGCAAACGUUUUCCGGUGACAAUUUGCGUUUUCGAAAGUACGCCAUCAUCGGAUGGGGUGGUCCCGUGAUCUUCGUUGGAGCGUGGGCACUGACCAGGCCAUUUUACUUAACAGAAGCCACCAUCACACCAACGGCGGAACAUCCCAACAAGCUCGAAAUAGAAUGCUCCUGGAUGCGGGAAUCUCACAUCGAUUGGAUAAUUCAGGGCCCGACCUGUACCGUGCUGGUGAUCAAUCUGAUUUUCCUGCUCAGGAUAAUGUGGGUCCUGAUCACGAAGCUCCGGUCGGCGAACACGCUCGAGACGCGCCAGUACCGGAAGGCUUCGAAGGCGCUGCUCGUACUUAUCCCGCUGCUGGGCAUCACGUACCUCAUCGUGAUCUACGGACCGGAGGAGGGCGGCGUCGGCAGUCACAUCUUUGCGGUCACCAGGGCGAUUCUGCUGAGCACACAGGGCUUCGUCGUAUCACUGCUGUACUGCUUCCUGAACUCGGAGGUGCGCCAAACGCUGCGGCACCAUUUUUACCGCUGGCGUGACGAACGGAACAUCCUGCGGCCCGGCGGUGCCAACAAAGCGGCCAACAACCAUCGCAGUGUGACAACCACUUCGGCACCGUUAAUUUGAUUUGAUCUCUUUCUCUCUCAUUUGUAAAUAUUAUCCUCGGUUUCUGUUUCCAGCGCUUUUGUUUAUUAUUUUUCCUUUUGUAAAUAGCACCUGUUACUACAAAAUCUAUGCAUUCGAAAAUGCAUUUAAAACACCCUGGAGUACAGCAUCGUGAUAAUGAAGAGCUCGGCGUCCCGCAACUGAGAUUGGCAUUCACCUGCCGCUGAGGCAGGACCACCCAUAUCGUCGAUUCCAAUGACAGCUCCCCCGCUCCAGCCGCAGCCAGCUUGGCAAAUCUCAACGACUACUUCGUUCAUCACAGACGGGAGCGCCACCGCCGCAGACAAAGGUGACAGCAAAUCGAAUUAAAUUCAACACUUUUCGGAGCUGUGGUGUGGUGAGAUGGUGUAAACAAAACGCACACCAAUUCUCACACACACUUGACAGCUUUUCCACAUUGAAGUUGACACGUGGGUGAUUGAGUGUAUUGAGGGUCCUGUGUGUCGUUAGAGUGUGAGGUUUAAUAUUUGAACUCUUUUUUUCUUGAAUGGUUCUCAUCUUACAAUUUGAACGGGGUGAUUCCCCUUUAGGAUGCGUGUGGGAUGUGUGUGUGUGUGUGUGUGUGAACUAGUAAACAGAACAUUCCAAAUAAAUUGUGCAAGGUUGAGAUUGGAUUUCAAUUGUGAAAAAAGUCUGGAAAGUUGCUGAAAACGACGAUGAUGAGGAGAAAGAGUAAAUAUUUGUGACUUGUUGUGUAGCUAAAUUAAAAAAGGCGCCACAUGAGAUGUGGUGAAGAUUACACACGACAU